CCCUUAGAUGUUCUGGGCUGCACGCGCGCUACACUGUCGGAUUCAGCGAGUCAUAUCCUUAACCGAAAGGUUUGGGUAAUCUUUUGAAAGUCCGACGUGAUGGGGAUUGAUCAUUGCAAUUAUUGAUCAUGAACGAGGAAUUCCUAGUAAGCGCGAGUCAUCAGCUCGCGUUGAUUACGUCCCUGCCCUUUGUACACACCGCCCGUCGCUACUACUGAUUGGAUGUUUAAGCGAGGUUCUCGAACUGCUAGCGACUUAGCUUCGGUGAGGUCGCAGUGUGGGAAGUGAACCUAGCUUUGGUGUCUAGAGGAAGUAAAAGUCGUAACA
rnacentral:rRNA from 1 species